GCAUAUAUCAUUAGCAUAUUAUAGUCUUUAGCAUAGCUUUUAGUGUUAUAAAUACUUAUUUAGUGUUAGCUUGGCUGUUAGAUAUUGUAGUUUAGUUAGUGUUUGGCUUUUAGUGUUACUAGGAAAGUAGUUCGGGUUUAGUGCUCUAUAUAGUGUUAGUACUUAUUUAGUGUCAGCUUGGCUGUUAGAUAUUGUAGUUUAGUUAGUGUUUAGCUGUUAGUUUUAUUAGGAAAAUAAUUUGGGUUUAGUGUUCCAGAUAGUGUUAGUAUGGUUAAAAGGUGUAGUGUAGUUGGUUGUGGUAGCUCUGUGGGGUGGCACUCCUUUCCACUGGACUUAGAAAUUAGGCGCCAGUGGUUGCGCGCAAUCGGUGUACAGGAUAACAGUCAGCUCCCGCCUGGUGCUGUAGUCUGCAACCAGCAUUUUACCUGCGAUUCCUUCGCCAACAUGAUGGAGUUUGAACUGGGUUAUUCUGCACGUCUCCGUUUGAAGAGUGAGGCCGUGCCCACUGUGGCUCUUCCACGAAUUAGAUGCAGCCCACCAACUCUGCUCCCCCACCAUGGCGGGCUCCAGUCUGAGGUGAGUAAGCUAAAUAAACGUUUUAACAUCUUCUAAAGACAAUUCCCUACCUAAAUGCAAAGUUUGAGAGACGUGGUUCACUCCAUUUAGCUAAUAUCAGCCUGCACUGCCUUCGGGCUAAAUUGUCAAGUUCACAAAAUGUGGAACGGGAUGUAAGGUUAGAAUCAGCGGCGAAUCGGAACAUUUCUCGAAGCCCUGGCCGACAAAAAGGUCCACAUGACUAUUUCUGUCAGGCUCGGAGAAAAUCCGGGUUGUUUUUGUGUCAGUCGGUAAUUCAGCAACAGUGGCUCUAACGCAGCACUAGUUGACAGACAUCAUUACAGCGUGAAAUCCAGCUUUACACCAAAGCCUAACCCGGUUCUGUGAGGAAUUCUGUUCAGGAGGUCGCAUUUCAGGUUCUUCACAUCAUAUGUGACUGACUUUUACGUUAUAAUAACGAUCACACACUAGGAAUGUCAUAAAGCGCCUAUAUAUAUAUAUAUAUUUCGGACAGUUUCUUUUGUAUAUUAUCUGACUUUAUAAACAACAACAACAAUGUGCUUCUAUUUUUUUUUUCAGGCUAAAUCUACCCAAGGCGUUGGCUGUCAGACUGAUUUAGUAAUCUGCAAAAAUGCACUUGUCCAGGCUCAUGUAAAGCCUUAUCGACAUAGCAAAGCCACCCAGUUUAGAGCUCCCAGCCGCAGUGUGUCUUGUGACACAGGGACCGUGAUGGAAAUUCAUCUUCCACAAAGUCCCAGAGCUGCGUCCACACCCCUGAAAAGACCACGAUAUGAGGUGUCUGUUGUUGAUCCCAGCUUCCACCUCAAUGACAGUGCAAGCUCAGUGAACUGUUCAAGCUCUUUCACUGAGGUCCAUCCACAAAAGGACAAGAAGUACAUUGUUCAUGAGAAACAGUUGCUGGGGCUGUUCAGAAGGUGUCCCGUUUGUACCGGUCGUUGUGUUGUGAACACGACAACAGUCGGCACACUGCUCCGUGUGACACAACGGUGUUCAUGCUGUGAGCACUACAAUGAGUGGUCCAGUCAGCCCAUGGUGAACAGCAUCCCAGCAGGAAACCUCCAGCUCUGUGCUGCUGUCCUUUUCACAGGAUCAUCAUUUAGCCAUCAUAUUUUAGUUCCUGGGUGCCUUCAAUGUGCAGGGACUGUCCAAGCAGACAUUCUGUCGACAUCAGGCAAAGCUGUUAAUUCCAACAGUGAGCUGGCAGUGGCAGCUAGAGCAAGCUGAUUUCAUCCAGGAGGCUACUGAAUCUGGACCUGUGACUCUUGGUGGUGACAUGCGAGCUGAUUCACCUGGAAACUCAGCCAAAUAUGGCAGCUGCACCAUGAAGGAUCUCAAAAGAAACAAAGUUACUGAUAUCCAACUUGUACAGAGCAAUGAAGUUGGAAAUAGUGUGCGAAUUGAGAAGGAGGGAUUUGUGCGAAGUCUGGGCACACUUUUGGAGGGAGGGGUCGAUGUGCAGCAAGUCGUGACUGACCGCCACACAGGGCUGCAGAAGUAUUUGCGGGAGGAAAAAAGGAAAUCAGUCACUACUUUGACCCCUGGCACAUGGGAAAAGGAAUUGGUAAGAAAAUCGAAGAGCUGGGGAAGAGAAAGACGACCCAGGAUGUGAGACUGUGGAAGGAAAGUGUGGUGAACCACCUCUACUGGUCAGCAUCCAGUUCCUCCUCAGGACAGGAGGCAGUAGCAAAGUGGACUUCAGUUGCCAACCACAUCCAAAAUGUGCACAGCCAUGACAACGCCCUGUUCCCUAGCUGUCUGCAUGCACCUCUGGAUGGAGAACA